AUUGGGCGUAAGGGCUCGCAGGCGGUUUCUUAAGUCUGAUGUGAAAGCCCCCGGCUCAUCCGGGGAGGGUCAUUGGAAACUGGGAAACUUGAGUGCCCAUUAGGAGAGUGGAAUUCCACGUGUAGCGGUGAAAUGCGUAGAGAUGUGGAGGAACACCAGUGGCGAAGGCGACUCUCUGGUCUGUAACUGACGCUGAGGAGCGAAAGCGUGGGGAGCGGACCGGAUUAGAUUCCCUGGUAGUCCACGCCGUAAACGAUG
rnacentral:rRNA from 1 species